rnacentral:lncRNA from 12 species
CUUAGCAUCACCGCACUGAGGCCUCUUUUUUUUUUUUUUUUUUUUUUUUUUUUUUUUUUUUUUUUUUUUUUUUUUUUUUUUUUUUUUUUUUUUUUUUUUUUUUUUUUUUUUUUUUUUUUUUUUUUUUUUUUUUUUUUUUUUUUUUUUUUUUUUUUUUUUUUUUUUUUUUUUUUUUUUUUUUUUUUUUUUUUUUUUUUUUUUUUUUUUUUUUUUUUUUUUUUUUUUUUUUUUUUUUUUUUUUUUUUUUUUUUUUUUUUUUUUUUUUUUUUUUUUUUUUUUUUUUUUUUUUUUUUUUUUUUUUUUUUUUUUUUUUUUUUUUUUUUUUUUUUUUUUUUUUUUUUUUUUUUUUUUUUUUUUUUUUUUUUUUUUUUUUUUUUUUUUUUUUUUUUUUUUUUUUUUUUUUUUUUUUUUUUUUUUUUUUUUUUUUUUUUUUUUUUUUUUUUUUUUUUUUUUUUUUUUUUUUUUUUUUUUUUUUUUUUUUUUUUUUUUUUUUUUUUUUUUUUUUUUUUUUUUUUUUUUUUUUUUUUUUUUUUUUUUUUUUUUUUUUUUUUUUUUUUUUUUUUUUUUUUUUUUUUUUUUUUUUUUUUUUUUUUUUUUUUUUUUUUUUUUUUUUUUUUUUUUUUUUUUUUUUUUUUUUUUUUUUUUUUUUUUUUUUUUUUUUUUUUUUUUUUUUUUUUUUUUUUUUUUUUUUUUUUUUUUUUUUUUUUUUUUUUUUUUUUUUUUUUUUUUUUUUUUUUUUUUUUUUUUUUUUUUUUUUUUUUUUUUUUUUUUUUUUUUUUUUUUUUUUUUUUUUUUUUUUUUUUUUUUUUUUUUUUUUUUUUUUUUUUUUUUUUUUUUUUUUUUUUUUUUUUUUUUUUUUUUUUUUUUUUUUUUUUUUUUUUUUUUUUUUUUUUUUUUUUUUUUUUUUUUUUUUUUUUUUUUUUUUUUUUUUUUUUUUUUUUUUUUUUUUUUUUUUUUUUUUUUUUUUUUUUUUUUUUUUUUUUUUUUUUUUUUUUUUUUUUUUUUUUUUUUUUUUUUUUUUUUUUUUUUUUUUUUUUUUUUUUUUUUUUUUUUUUUUUUUUUUUUUUUUUUUUUUUUUUUUUUUUUUUUUUUUUUUUUUUUUUUUUUUUUUUUUUUUUUUUUUUUUUUUUUUUUUUUUUUUUUUUUUUUUUUUUUUUUUUUUUUUUUUUUUUUUUUUUUUUUUUUUUUUUUUUUUUUUUUUUUUUUUUUUUUUUUUUUUUUUUUUUUUUUUUUUUUUUUUUUUUUUUUUUUUUUUUUUUUUUUUUUUUUUUUUUUUUUUUUUUUUUUUUUUUUUUUUUUUUUUUUUUUUUUUUUUUUUUUUUUUUUUUUUUUUUUUUUUUUUUUUUUUUUUUUUUUUUUUUUUUUUUUUUUUUUUUUUUUUUUUUUUUUUUUUUUUUUUUUUUUUUUUUUUUUUUUUUUUUUUUUUUUUUUUUUUUUUUUUUUUUUUUUUUUUUUUUUUUUUUUUUUUUUUUUUUUUUUUUUUUUUUUUUUUUUUUUUUUUUUUUUUUUUUUUUUUUUUUUUUUUUUUUUUUUUUUUUUUUUUUUUUUUUUUUUUUUUUUUUUUUUUUUUUUUUUUUUUUUUUUUUUUUUUUUUUUUUUUUUUUUUUUUUUUUUUUUUUUUUUUUUUUUUUUUUUUUUUUUUUUUUUUUUUUUUUUUUUUUUUUUUUUUUUUUUUUUUUUUUUUUUUUUUUUUUUUUUUUUUUUUUUUUUUUUUUUUUUUUUUUUUUUUUUUUUUUUUUUUUUUUUUUUUUUUUUUUUUUUUUUUUUUUUUUUUUUUUUUUUUUUUUUUUUUUUUUUUUUUUUUUUUUUUUUUUUUUUUUUUUUUUUUUUUUUUUUUUUUUUUUUUUUUUUUUUUUUUUUUUUUUUUUUUUUUUUUUUUUUUUUUUUUUUUUUUUUUUUUUUUUUUUUUUUUUUUUUUUUUUUUUUUUUUUUUUUUUUUUUUUUUUUUUUUUUUUUUUUUUUUUUUUUUUUUUUUUUUUUUUUUUUUUUUUUUUUUUUUUUUUUUUUUUUUUUUUUUUUUUUUUUUUUUUUUUUUUUUUUUUUUUUUUUUUUUUUUUUUUUUUUUUUUUUUUUUUUUUUUUUUUUUUUUUUUUUUUUUUUUUUUUUUUUUUUUUUUUUUUUUUUUUUUUUUUUUUUUUUUUUUUUUUUUUUUUUUUUUUUUUUUUUUUUUUUUUUUUUUUUUUUUUUUUUUUUUUUUUUUUUUUUUUUUUUUUUUUUUUUUUUUUUUUUUUUUUUUUUUUUUUUUUUUUUUUUUUUUUUUUUUUUUUUUUUUUUUUUUUUUUUUUUUUUUUUUUUUUUUUUUUUUUUUUUUUUUUUUUUUUUUUUUUUUUUUUUUUUUUUUUUUUUUUUUUUUUUUUUUUUUUUUUUUUUUUUUUUUUUUUUUUUUUUUUUUUUUUUUUUUUUUUUUUUUUUUUUUUUUUUUUUUUUUUUUUUUUUUUUUUUUUUUUUUUUUUUUUUUUUUUUUUUUUUUUUUUUUUUUUUUUUUUUUUUUUUUUUUUUUUUUUUUUUUUUUUUUUUUUUUUUUUUUUUUUUUUUUUUUUUUUUUUUUUUUUUUUUUUUUUUUUUUUUUUUUUUUUUUUUUUUUUUUUUUUUUUUUUUUUUUUUUUUUUUUUUUUUUUUUUUUUUUUUUUUUUUUUUUUUUUUUUUUUUUUUUUUUUUUUUUUUUUUUUUUUUUUUUUUUUUUUUUUUUUUUUUUUUUUUUUUUUUUUUUUUUUUUUUUUUUUUUUUUUUUUUUUUUUUUUUUUUUUUUUUUUUUUUUUUUUUUUUUUUUUUUUUUUUUUUUUUUUUUUUUUUUUUUUUUUUUUUUUUUUUUUUUUUUUUUUUUUUUUUUUUUUUUUUUUUUUUUUUUUUUUUUUUUUUUUUUUUUUUUUUUUUUUUUUUUUUUUUUUUUUUUUUUUUUUUUUUUUUUUUUUUUUUUUUUUUUUUUUUUUUUUUUUUUUUUUUUUUUUUUUUUUUUUUUUUUUUUUUUUUUUUUUUUUUUUUUUUUUUUUUUUUUUUUUUUUUUUUUUUUUUUUUUUUUUUUUUUUUUUUUUUUUUUUUUUUUUUUUUUUUUUUUUUUUUUUUUUUUUUUUUUUUUUUUUUUUUUUUUUUUUUUUUUUUUUUUUUUUUUUUUUUUUUUUUUUUUUUUUUUUUUUUAUGUGUACACUGCUGUAUUAUGUUUUGAUAUUAUGCACACAUAAUUGUCUACUAUAUAAAUUCUUCACUGAAUAA